GACGAACGCUGGCGGCGUGCUUAACACAUGCAAGUCGAACGGAAAGGCCCUGCUUUUUUCGGGUGCCCGAGUGGCGAACGUGUGUGUAACACGUGAGUAUCCUGCCCUUUACUUUGUGAUAUCUUCAGGAAACUGGUGCUACCACCGAAUAGGAGCUCCUGCUGCAGGGUGGUGUUUGGAACUUUCUGGCGGAGGGGGGUGUACUCGCGGCUUAUCAGCUUGUUGGGGGGGUGGUGGCUUACCAAGCCUUUGGGGGGUAGCCGGCCUGAGAGGGUGACCGGCCACAUUGGGACGGAGAGACGGCCACGGCUCCUACGGGUGGAAGAAGUGGGAAACAUGGCACAGUGGGGGGAAGCGUGAUGAGGAAAUGUUGCGUGCGGGAAGACGGCUUUGGGGGGGGAAACCGCUUUCGCCUGUGACGAAGCGUGAGUGACGGUAAUGGGUAAAGAAGCACCGGCUAACUACGUG
rnacentral:rRNA from 1 species